GUUUAGGGUCUCCUUCAGCAGACAGAUGACCCUGACCAGGGAUCGGGGUCAGGGCUGGCAUCUCUGCUCUGGCUAAAACUCAAAUUUUACAUGUAUCUCUAUGAGGUAGGCAUCUCUAUGGAUGGUUCUAGAUGUGGCAACAAAUUGUUAAAGGGAAAAGCAAAGCCUUGCUUGGCAGAGCUUACACUUCUCAAGUGUUGACCUGAGUCUUAAAUUUUGCAACCAUCGUUUUAGAGGAUGUGGGACACGCAUCCUGUUUUGGAGGGUGUUUUGGGGAGCGGGAAGACAAAACAAGGGGUGCUGUGGACUCAGAUCUCAAAGGCCAGUGGUGGCAGAGCACCAGGAAGAAAUCAGUCAGCCGGGAAAAACCAGAUGGCUUAGAAUCUAGUGAACAACAGCUUAAACGGGAAUACAAGCAGAGAACAGAGGACAGUUCCAAAAGGGAGACUUAAUUUUUAUUUCCGUGGAAGCUGAGCAUCAGAAGAGACCUAAUUUUUGGGUCAGAGAUGUUUAACUGGGAGCUCUGCUAGAGCUGGGACUAGAAUCGAGAGCCCAGCAGAAACAUUGCUCUGGUGUUCAGGAAGAAUAGCUUGGCUUCAAAUGGGAAGAAGAAGAGUAGGACUCAAGAAUAUAGACUUUGCAGUUGUCCCGCAGAAAUCGGUAGGUAAAAACAGACCUGAGACGUGAGGCUGGACAGAGUCCUCCACGCCUUGGGAUCUGAGUCACUGGAACCAAACUAGACUCUCUUUUACUUCCGAUAACCACCUGUCUGGACAGAUUGCACACUUGUCAGUUACCAUCCGGGGAGAGUUGUUGUCGUUACCACCGUCACAAAGACUGCCCUGCGUGUGUGUGCUAUCAUGGUGAUGACUUACCAGGGAGGAAAGUACAGGGAGAAUUAGAGACUUCUUUGGCGAAGGGAAGCAGGAAGAAUUUCAAGCUCUCCAGGAGAUAAAAGCAAAAGCACAGCGCUCUUUGCUGCUGUAGCACACUUCCGGAUAUACCUGCCACGAGCACCAUACUAAUUAAAUUGGCAUUCCUUAUCACCACCGCAAUAGCUCCUCAGGAACGU